AACGAACGCUGGCGGCAGGCCUAACACAUGCAAGUCGAGCGAAGCCUUCGGGCUUAGCGGCGGACGGGUGAGUAACGCGUGGGAACGUGCCCUUUGGUACGGAAUAGCCCCGGGAAACUGGGAGUAAUACCGUAUGUGGUCGAGAGACGAAAGAUUUAUCGCCAAAGGAUCGGCCCGCGUUGGAUUAGGUAAUUGGUGGGGUAAUGGCCUACCAAGCCGACGAUCCAUAGCUGGUUUGAGAGGAUGAUCAGCCACACUGGGACUGAGACACGGCCCAGACUCCUACGGGAGGCAGCAGGGGGGAAUCUUAGACGAUGGGGGAAACCCUGAUCUAGCCAUGCCGCGUGAUCGAUGAAGGCCUUAGGGUUGUAAAGAUCUUUCAGUGGGGAAGAUAAUGACUGUACCCACAGAAGAAGCCCCGGCUAACUCCGUGCCAGCCGCCGCAGUAAUAC
rnacentral:rRNA from 1 species